GUGCAGAUCACUUUCUUAAAUUAAUCGGUUAAGGUUUAAUCUCUCGCAGAUCAAAGCAUGAACUUUAUAUAAAAUCCAACAAAGACUACAUCAAGCUUUGGACUGCAUGUGAUAGAUUUGAAAAUAACUUGCAUAACUUCGAUUCCCUUCAAGUUCCAAGAAGUCCAAUGCCAACAUAAUAUUACAACAUUAUUCCAAAUUCCAGAGUCCCACCGCACCCACAAAGAAAAAUCAAAACUGUCAUACUUCAAAAGAUUCAAUUCCACAUCAACCCCACUUCUGUGGCAAUCCCAGACCCAUUUAAUUAAAAAAAGGAAGGGGGGAGUGGAGAGAGAGAAGAAAAAGAUAAUAACAGAAAGUGGUGAUAUUGAUUGAAUCAUACUGUUUUGGAUCGGC
rnacentral:misc_RNA from 1 species